rnacentral:rRNA from 1 species
GACGGAGGAGGCAAUCGUUAUCCGGAAUUAUUGGGCGUAAAGGGUACGUAGGCGGCUGGUCAAGUCUGGGGUCAAAGGCCACAGCUCAACUGUGGGAAGGCCCUGGAAACUGGCCGGCUAGAGUGAGGUAGGGGUUGCGGGAAUUCCCGGUGUAGCGGUGAAAUGCGUAGAGAUCGGGAAGAACACCUGAGGCGGAAGCGCGCAACUGGGCCUCAACUGACGCUGAGGUACGAAAGCUAGGGGAGGGAAUGGG